rnacentral:lncRNA from 13 species
GGCGCGCCCUUCUCAAAUUGAACAGUAAUCUGUGCCACCUGGUCAUUUUGUCAAGGCAGCACCAUGGUGCAUCGUCCAGAAACGUACACCAUCUAUUUUCCAUAAAAUAAAUAUUUCAAUUUUCUAACUAUUUUUCAUUGGGAAGACAGAUAGAGCAAUCACUUUUGCAUGGGAAACACAGAAUCCUAUUAAUUACACACGUGAUUAAUUACGUUACUUUGGUUUUAAGCCGUAAUCGCAGUGGGCUUUGAAUAGAAUGCAAUCAACUUUCAACCGAUGCAAAACACAGCUACAAGGGCGCCCGGGUGAGAUUAAUCGAACACCCUCAAUGUUCCACGAUCAUCCGGAAGAACUGCCUAUGAACGCGCACUUUGGAUGCGACACAACUAUGCCGGGUUACUCAGAGAGAAGGACAUCAUUGAACAAUCAGUGAUUGCUUAUAAAGGCUGAAAAACGAAAUGAAUGAAUAGAGAAUUCGCUACAGCAUACCUACAUCUUUUAUUUAAGGUAAGACUAAGUCUAUUGUCUCUUUUGUACUGUCUAACAUGUUUUGCCGUGGAAUACAGAAAUGUGAUGGCACCUGCCUUCGGUUUGGGUUGAUGUGUUGGAUUUAUGGCCUGUGAUAUUCCAUUAAAAGCUUGCUCAGCUGUUGCAGUUUUGCUACAAAAGCUCUUAUUAUAACAUCUGAAGGUAAGAUUUGAUCUUGAUAUUCAGACUGACAUCUGGUCUACUCCAAUAUAGACUGGUUAUUAAAUAGGAAAAACUUGAGUCAGGAUGGAAGGGUUAGACCAGAUACAGCUUCUGGUGUAAAUAUGAAAUUGAUGCAAACACAUUGUAGCAUCUGUGAUGUGCAUUUUGGCUGUUAUUUAGUCAGGAUCAUUAUGAGAUGGCAAUAAGACGAUAUAAGGUACUCUACAUGCUUCAAUGUUUCAAAAUUUACAGCAUAUUAUAUACAUGGAGUUUUCCAAUGGCUUUUGACGCUGUGAAACACCCAAAGGCUUACAUUAUUGGGCCUUGUAGAUAAUGGCUGAAAAGUCCUCUGGUGGAUGUGCAUUUAUUUUCUUCAACAGACACAAUACAGGCUUUACCGAGCAGUAGUAUACUGAGUGCCAUUUUAGAGAGCAAACAUAGUCUUAGUGGAUUGUGAUUUUAGGUAUA